UACGUAGGGCGCAAGCGUUGUCCGGAAUUAUUGGGCGUAAAGAGCUCGUAGGCGGUCUGUUACGUCUGCUGUGAAAACCCAGGGCUUAACCCUGGGCUUGCAGUGGAUACGGGCAGACUAGAGGCAGGUAGGGGAGAAUGGAAUUCCCGGUGUAGCGGUGAAAUGCGUAGAGAUCGGGAGGAACACCAGUGGCGAAGGCGGCCGGCUGGGGGUGACCUGACGCUGAGGCGCGAAAGCGUGGGGAGCGAACCGG
rnacentral:rRNA from 1 species